UACGGGGGGGGCAAGCGUUGUUCGGAAUUACUGGGCGUAAAGGGCGCGUAGGCGGCCUUCUAAGUCGGACGGGAAAUCCCUCGGCUUAACCGAGGAACUGCGUCCGAUACUGGUUGGCUUGAAUCCGGGAGAGGGAUGUGGAAUUCCAGGUGUAGCGGUGAAAUGCGUAGAUAUCUGGAGGAACACCGGUGGCGAAGGCGACAUCCUGGACCGGCAUUGACGCUGAGGCGCGAAAGCCAGGGGAGCAAACGGG
rnacentral:rRNA from 1 species